AUACGGAGGAUCCGAGCGUUAUCCGGAUUUAUUGGGUUUAAAGGGUGCGCAGGUGGGAGAUUAAGUCGGCGGUGAAAUUUUGCAGCUCAACUGUAAAAGUGCCUUCGAAACUGGUUUCCUUGAGUGUAGAUGAAGUAGGCGGAAUUUGUGGUGUAGCGGUGAAAUGCAUAGAUAUCACGAGGAACUCCGAUUGCGCAGGCAGCUUACUAAACUACUACUGACGCUCAGGCACGAAGGCGUGGGGAUCAAACAGGAUUAGAUACCCUGGUAGUCCACGCAGUAAACGAUGAUUACUAGCUGUUUGCGAUACAAUGUAAGCGGCUGAGCGAAAGCGUUAAGUAAUCCACCUGGGGAGUACGUUCGCAAGAAUGAAACUCAAAUGAAUUGACGGGG
rnacentral:rRNA from 1 species